UGGUCAAAGACUUUCUGAACUCAGUAUCGCGAAUCGCACAGGACUACUCUUUUUCUACUAGGAUCGAUAGAUUCUAUCUAGGUGCAUCCUACUCUAACAGUGAAUCUGAACCCACUGUAGUCAAUAUGCACUGUAAAGAUCCAAAUGGUUAAGAGUUCAAGUGUAUAUGUAGCCAAACUACAGCCACUUCACUGUGAAUAGUCAAGGCACCAC
rnacentral:lncRNA from 1 species